GUAUUUUUUGUAAUGUGCUUGAUUGCAUACAUGCUGAAACUUGUAGCAUCGGGGUUGAGCAUUUAUUGAUAAUAAAGCAACAAAUAGAAGGUCUGAGAAUGUGUGUGCAAUACAUAUCAGUGUGUAAGCAUGUGUGUUCAGUUGUGCCCUGGUCUUCAGCAUGACUUGCACAUUAUUACCAGAGGUACUAAAAUUUUAUUUCCAGCUAACAUUGUCAGGAUACAGAGUGUGUGUGCUUGAGUGUGUGAGAGAAUAUGUGUAUAAUAGCACUAUUGCCUUUUGCCAAGGGGGGCGUUUGCUCAUGUAGCUUGUAAAACUCAAUGUCUGGGCACCCUUUAAGCCGUCCCUAUGAAAUAUCACUUGUGUUCUUGCUGUCCAGUGAUAAAAGAGCCAACAGGAUUUGGAACUGAUCUACAGAAGAGACCACCUGUUGCAGAGGACAAGAGAGAUACAACACAAAUCAUUAUUAGUUGAUACUGUACGUCAUCUGAUGGAGUCAGUUGUUCAUUCUUCUCAUAAAAUCAAAUCAGCAGUGGUCUUGGGACCUUGGUGUGUAUCAGAGGGUGAACGCAGGGUCGUCUCGUUCUCUUUGCUCAUCUUUAAAAAGAAAGCUAUGCCCAAGGCCUGGAGAUAGAGACUGAUAAAAGGCAGCAGAAUGUGAGAAAGAAAGGAACGAGGAAUAGUGGGGAGAGGGAGGAAAAGAGAUGGUUCAUUGUUGGGUGGGCAGUCCCAUCACUUGAUGACUGCGGCACUCCUCAACCCUGCAGCUGGGUUCUGAUGCCCUCACAAACUGUCUUUCUUCUUCCCAACAACAACCAUGGCUUCGGGGGGUCACAGAAGAUGCCUGCCCUGCCAUGUGAUGGCGCUACAGAUGUGGUGAGGGAACUUCUUUAACAGCCAGGGCAAAAAACGAAUGCGUCAGAUACAAAGCGAGGGCCACAAUACUGUCCUUGUAUCUUUCUCCCAGCUGCUGUAUUUAACAGCUGCAAUAAAGAGCUUAUUUGAAAAACCUGAAAAAAAGAAGAAAUUGAAUGCCUCAGACUUUUUAA
ensembl:lncRNA